rnacentral:rRNA from 1 species
UGGGGAAUUUUGGACAAUGGGGGCAACCCUGAUCCAGCGAUGCCGCGUGAGUGAAGAAGGCCUUCGGGUUGUAAAGCUCUUUUGUCAGGGAAGAAGAUGCUAUGGCUAAUAUCCAUGGUUGAUGACGGUACCUGAAGAAUAAGCACCGGCUAACUACGUGCCAGCAGCCGCGGUAAUACGUAGGGUGCGAGCGUUAAUCGGAAUUACUGGGCGUAAAGGGUGCGCAGGCGGUUGUGCAAGACAGGCGUGAAAUCCCCGGGCUUAACCUGGGAAUGGCGCUUGUGACUGCACGGCUAGAGUGUGUCAGAGGGGGGUAGAAUUCCACGUGUAGCAGUGAAAUGCGUAGAUAUGUGGAGGAAUACCGAUGGCGAAGGCAGCCCCCUGGGAUAACACUGACGCU